ensembl:snRNA U6 U6 spliceosomal RNA
GUACCUCUUUUCAACAGCACAUAUACUGGAGUCAGAACAAUACAGAGAGGAUUGGCAUGGCCCCUGUGCAAAGAUGACACAAAUUUGUGAAGUGUUCCAUAUUAAA